rnacentral:rRNA from 1 species
CAANGUAUGCUUUGGAAACUGUUAGACUUGAGUGCAGAAGGGGAGAGUGGAAUUCCAUGUGUAGCGGUGAAAUGCGUAGAUAUAUGGAGGAACACCGGUGGCGAAAGCGGCUCUCUGGUCUGUCACUGACGCUGAGGCUCGAAAGCGUGGGUAGCGAACAGGAUUAGAUACCCUGGUAGUCCACGCCGUAAACGCUGAGUGCUAGGUGUUAGGUCCUUUCCGGGACUUAGUGCCGACGCUAACGCAUUAAGCACUCCGCCUGGGGAGUACGACCGCAAGGUUGAAACUCAAAGGAAUUGACGGGGGCCCGCACAAGCGGUGGAGCAUGUGGUUUAAUUCGAAGCAACGCGAAGAACCUUACCAGGUCUUGACAUCCCGAUGCCCGCUCUAGAGAUAGAGUUUUUCUUUGGAACAUCGGAGACAGGUGGUGCAUGGUUGUCGUCAGCUCGUGUCGUGAGAUGUUGGGUUAAGUCCCGCAACGAGCGCAACCCUUAUUGUUAGUUGCCAUCAUUAAGUUGGGCACUCUAGCGAGACUGCCGGUAAUAAACCGGAGGAAGGUGGGGAUGACGUCAAAUCAUCAUGCCCCUUAUGACCUGGGCUACACACGUGCUACAAUGGUUGGUACAACGAGUCGCAAGCCGGUGACGGCAAGCUAAUCUCUGAAAGCCAAUCUCAGUUCGGAUUGUAGGCUGCAACUCGCCUACAUGAAGUCGGAAUCGCUAGUAAUCGCGGAUCAGCACGCCGCGGUGAAUACGUUCCCGGGCCUUGUACACACCGCCCGUCACACCACGAGAGUUUGUAACACCCAAAGUCGGUGAGGUAACCAUUUAUGGGGCCAGC